UGGGGAAUAUUGGACAAUGGGCGCAAGCCUGAUCCAGCAAUGCCGCGUGAGUGAUGAAGGCCUCCGGGUUGUAAACUCCUUUCGACCGAGAUGAAUACCUGCUGACCUAAUACGUCAGCAGGCUGACAGUAUCGAGGGAAGCAGCCCCGGCUAACUAC
rnacentral:rRNA from 1 species